rnacentral:rRNA from 1 species
GGCGAACGGGUGAGUAACACGUGGGUGACCUGCCCUCAGCUCUGGGAUAAGCCUGGGAAACUGGGUCUAAUACCGGAUAUGACUUCGCAUCGCAUGGUGUGGGGUGGAAAGUUUUUUCGGCUGGGGAUGGGCCCGCGGCCUAUCAGCUUGUUGGUGGGGUGAUGGCCUACCAAGGCGACGACGGGUAGCCGGCCUGAGAGGGCGACCGGCCACACUGGGACUGAGACACGGUCCAGACUCCUACGGGAGGCAGCAGUGGGGAAUAUUGCGCAAUGGGCGGAAGCCUGACGCAGCGACGCCGCGUGGGGGAUGACGGCCUUCGGGUUGUAAACCUCUUUCGACCUCGACGAAGCCUUUGGGGUGACGGUAGGGGUAGAAGAAGCACCGGCCAACUACGUGCCAGCCGCCGCGG